CGCGAAUGGCUCAUUAAAUCAGCUAUGGUUCCUUAGAUCGUACAUACUACAUGGAUAACUGUAGUAAUUCUAGAGCUAAUACAUGCCACUAUGCCCUGACCCUUUCGGGAAUGGGUGGAUUUAUUAGAACAGAACCAAUACAGCUUUUGCUGUCUAAUUCUGUGAUGACUCUGGAUAACUUAACUGAUCGCAGUCGGCCUUGAGUCGGCGACGGAUCUUUCAAAUGGCUGCCCUAUCAAUUGUCGAUGGUAGGUGACCUGCCUACCAUGGUAAUAACGGGUAACGGGGAAUCAGGGUUCGAUUCCGGAGAGGGAGCCUGAGAAACGGCUACCACAUCCAAGGAAGGCAGCAGGCGCGCAAAUUACCCAAUCCCGGCACGGGGAGGUAGUGACGAAAAAUACGGAGACGGGACUCUUUAUGGGCCUCCGAAAUCCGAGUGAGUACAUUUUAAAUCCUUUAACGAGGAUCAACUGGAGGGCAAGUCUGGUGCCAGCAGCCGCGGUA
rnacentral:rRNA from 1 species